rnacentral:rRNA from 1 species
GUUCUCGAACAGACCUCUCGGACCGAUCUGCGACGCUAUAGCUUUGGGUACUUUCAGGACCCGUCUUGAAACACGGACCAAGGAGUCUAGCAUGUGCGCGAGUCAUUGGGAAUCACUAAACCUAAAGGCGUAAUGAAAGUGAAGGUCUUCCUUGCGGAGACCGAGGGAGGAAGAGCGGGCGUCGUUAAAAGCGUCCGUUCCGCACUCCCGGGGCGUCUCGUUCUCAUUGCGAGAAGAGGCGCACCAAGAGCGUACACGCUGGGACCCGAAAGAUGGUGAACUAUGCCUGGUCAGGACGAAGUCAGGGGAAACCCUGAUGGAGGUCCGUAGCGAUUCU